GACGAACGCUGGCGGCGUGCUUAACACAUGCAAGUCGAACGGAAAGGCCCUGCUUUUGUGGGGUGCUCGAGUGGCGAACGGGUGAGUAACACGUGAGUAACCUGCCCUUGACUUUGGGAUAACCUCAGGAAACUGGGGCUAAUACCGGAUAGGAGCUCCUGCUGCAUGGUGGGGGUUGGAAAGUUUCGGCGGUUGGGGAUGGACUCGCGGCUUAUCAGCUUGUUGGUGGGGUAGUGGCUUACCAAGGCUUUGACGGGUAGCCGGCCUGAGAGGGUGACCGGCCACAUUGGGACUGAGAUACGGCCCAGACUCCUACGGGAGGCAGCAGUGGGGAAUAUUGCACAAUGGGCGGAAGCCUGAUGCAGCAACGCCGCGUGCGGGAUGACGGCCUUCGGGUUGUAAACCGCUUUCGCCUGUGACGAAGCGUGAGUGACGGUAAUGGGUAAAGAAGCACCGGCUAACUACGUGCCAGCAGCCGCGGUGAUACGUAGGGUGCGAGCGUUGUCCGGAUUUAUUGGGCGUAAAGGGCUCGUAGGUGGUUGAUCGCGUCGGAAGUGUAAUCUUGGGGCUUAACCCUGAGCGUGCUUUCGAUACGGGUUGACUUGAGGAAGGUAGGGGAGAAUGGAAUUCCUGGUGGAGCGGUGGAAUGCGCAGAUAUCAGGAGGAACACCAGUGGCGAAGGCGGUUCUCUGGGCCUUUCCUGACGCUGAGGAGCGAAAGCGUGGGGAGCGAACAGGCUUAGAUACCCUGGUAGUCCACGCUGUAAACGGUGGGUACUAGGUGUGGGGUCCAUUCCACGGGUUCCGUGCCGUAGCUAACGCUUUAAGUACCCCGCCUGGGGAGUACGGCCGCAAGGCUAAAACUCAAAGGAAUUGACGGGGCCCCGCACAAGCGGCGGAGCAUGCGGAUUAAUUCGAUGCAACGCGUAGAACCUUACCUGGGUUUGACAUGGAUCGGGAGUGCUCAGAGAUGGGUGUGCCUCUUUUGGGGUCGGUUCACAGGUGGUGCAUGCCUGUCGUCAGCUCGUGUCGUGAGAUGUUGGGUUAAGUCCCGCAACGAGCGCAACCCUUGUUCACUGUUGCCAGCACGUUAUGGUGGGGACUCAGUGGAGACCGCCGGGGUCAACUCGGAGGAAGGUGGGGAUGACGUCAAGUCAUCAUGCCCCUUAUGUCCAGGGCUUCACGCAUGCUACAAUGGCUGGUACAGAGAGUGGCGAGCCUGUGAGGGUGAGCGAAUCUCGGAAAGCCGGUCUCAGUUCGGAUUGGGGUCUGCAACUCGACCUCAUGAAGUCGGAGUCGCUAGUAAUCGCAGAUCAGCAACGCUGCGGUGAAUACGUUCCCGGGGCU
rnacentral:rRNA from 1 species